rnacentral:rRNA from 1 species
UACGUAGGGUGCAAGCGUUGUCCGGAAUUAUUGGGCGUAAAGAGCUCGUAGGCGGUUUGUCGCGUCGGCUGUGAAAGCCCGGAGCUCAACUCCGGGUCUGCAGUCGAUACGGGCAGACUUGAGUGUUGCAGGGGAGACUGGAAUUCCUGGUGUAGCGGUGAAAUGCGCAGAUAUCGGGAGGAACACCGGUGGCGAAGGCGGGUCUCUGGGCAACAACUGACGCUGAGGAGCGAAAGCGUGGGGAGCGAACAGG